rnacentral:rRNA from 1 species
CAUUAGCUAGUUGGUGAGGUAACGGCUCACCAAGGCGACGAUGCGUAGCCGACCUGAGAGGGUGAUCGGCCACACUGGGACUGAAACACGGCCCAGACUCCUACGGGAGGCAGCAGUAGGGAAUCUUCCGCAAUGGACGAAAGUCUGACGGAGCAACGCCGCGUGAGUGAUGAAGGUUUUCGGAUCGUAAAGCUCUGUUGUUAGGGAAGAACAAGUGCAAGAGUAACUGCUUGCACCAUGACGGUACCUAACCAGAAAGCCACGGCUAACUACGUGCCAGCAGCCGCGGUAAUACGUAGGUGGCAAGCGUUGUCCGGAAUUAUUGGGCGUAAAGGGCUCGCAGGCGGUUUCUUAAGUCUGAUGUGAAAGCCCCCGGCUCAACCGGGGAGGGUCAUUGGAAACUGGGAAACUUGAGUGCAGAAGAGGAGAGUGGAAUUCCACGUGUAGCGGUGAAAUGCGUAGAGAUGUGGAGGAACACCAGUGGCGAAGGCGACUCUCUGGUCUGUAACUGACGCUGAGGAGCGAAAGCGUGGGGAGCGAACAGGAUUAGAUACCCUGGUAGUCCACGCCGUAAACGAUGAGUGCUAAGUGUUAGGGGGUUUCCGCCCCUUAGUGCUGCAGCUAACGCAUUAAGCACUCCGCCUGGGGAGUACGGUCGCAAGACUGAAACUCAAAGGAAUUGACGGGGGCCCGCACAAGCGGUGGAGCAUGUGGUUUAAUUCGAAGCAACGCGAAGAACCUUACCAGGUCUUGACAUCCUCUGACAACCCUAGAGAUAGGGCUUUCCCUUCGGGGACAGAGUGACAGGUGGUGCAUGGUUGUCGUCAGCUCGUGUCGUGAGAUGUUGGGUUAAGUCCCGCAACGAGCGCAACCCUUGAUCUUAGUUGCCAGCAUUCAGUUGGGCACUUUAAGGUGACUGCCGGUGACAAACCGGAGGAAGGUGGGGAUGACGUCAAAUCAUCAUGCCCCUUAUGACCUGGGCUACACACGUG